CUGGGGCCACGCUCCGCUCUCAGCCCAAUUGUGACGGAGUCGUGACCUAACAAGAAAGUCACAGUGUCCUUCGGGCGAAGGGAGAGCUGUUUUGGAUGAAUGGGCAGGAGCCAGGGCAGCGAGAGUUUGGCUGGGAACAACGGCUCAGGCUUCCAGGCAGGCAUGGGCCUUACCAGCUCUCUGCUAAGAUGCAACGGGGUGCCCGCGACAGCUCUUGUAUGAUGGAAGUAACUUAUUUGACUGAGCUGCUAAAAGUUAGAAAGUUUCCUAUUCCUGACUGGCCAGCUGAGGCAGAGGUUGGAUUCUCUGCAGGCGGCAUCUCUAUGUUCUCAAGGCAGAGGACAAGCCAGCCAGAGGCAACUGCCGGGCUCCGCAAGUUCUAAAUCAACUUUCUCAUGCUUAUGGACUGACCCUGUACUUUUGCUAUCCUGGCAAGCUUGACCAAUUUCCAGUAAGGAUUAAGAUUUAGCAUGAGGGGAAAACAAAGAUAAAGAAAUAACAUCUACUGAUAUGGCCCUACAGUACGCAGGAAAAAUUAGAGUUGGAAAUAUUACCAAAAGCAGUCCCCUCUGAAUGCUUUCAUGGGCAUAUCCGGGUGUUCUGUCAGCCAGACACAGAGACACUGGAAAGCUGCCACUAUCAUGGAGUGCAGAUCCCGGGAGUGAAGAGGAGCUGGCCGACUACACUGGUAUACAAUGUAGCUGCAUACAGAACUGAUAGCUCUCUUCCGGUCUCCUGAGUCAACUGCCACCUUCACCUGCAGCAUAGUCAUAUGAGGAACAGUUAGCCAGGAGCCACAGUACAAAUUUCAAAGCACCUGCACUGAACCUGGCCUUUCUGAGAAUGUGAUACAACAUAGGAACUCUUGCUUUUCAAGAUAUUAUUUAUAGAGGAUCAGAGUAUUUCAGAUGUACUAUUAAAAUACUCUAUAAAAAGAAGGUAUUUUUCAAAC